rnacentral:rRNA from 1 species
AGUGAACGCUGGCGGUAGGCCUAACACAUGCAAGUCGAACGGCAGCACAGUAAGAGCUUGCUCUUACGGGUGGCGAGUGGCGGACGGGUGAGGAAUACAUCGGAAUCUACUUUUUCGUGGGGGAUAACGUAGGGAAACUUAAGAUAAUACAGCAUACGACCUACGGGUGAAAGCAGGGGAUCUUCGGACCUUGCGCGAUUGAAUGAGCCGAUGUCGGAUUAGCUAGUUGGCGGGGUAAAGGCCCACCAAGGCGACGAUCCGUAGCUGGUCUGAGAGGAUGAUCAGCCACACUGGAACUUGGACACGGUCCAGACUCCUACGGGAGGCAGCAGUGGGGAAUAUUGGACAAUGGGCGCAAGCCUGAUCCAGCCAUACCGCGUGUGUGAAGAAGGCCUUCGGGUUGUAAAGCCCUUUUGUUGGGAAAGAAAAGCAGCAGGUUAAUACCCCGCUGUUCUGACGGUACCCAAAGAAUAAGCACCGGCUAACUUCGUG